GUCAGCAGCGGGCUCGCGCGGCCAUUCUCUGAUUCUCUAGGAAGCGGGAGGAACAGCUCUAUGGGACCCUAGAAGAAGGCGUUCCCUCCAAGCCCAGCCUGUAACUCCAGCCUUGUUUCCCGUCAAGCCCAGUCGCUUUACUGAUAUCCCAUUAACAACUAUCUUGGCCUGAAACACAGUGGCUACCUCAACCCUCAGGAAAAUUGUAUAGGGAGACGUUGGGAUGGAAAGGAUGCUGGGUAUCGUUAGGAAGAUACACACAAGUAGCAUCCCACCCAAGGACAACUGUGAAAGACCCAAUCAGUUCAUCUUUAUACAACUCUACUCAGCUAUAUGGAGCUAUUACUUAUCAUUAUAUCUCAGUGUUUAGCACAAUGAUUGGUAGAGAAGGUAUUCAAUAAAUAAAUACUUGUUGAAAUCAUUAAUCA